AGGAGAUGCAACAGUCGAAGAGGGCCUUUUCCUCACAAAAAUCACUCCCAGGCAGACCAGAUCUGGACAAAGUGAAGGAGGGUCUUGAUGGCUCUGACACAACCUCGUCCUCGACCGAGGAGCUAAAGUGAUAAAUAAAGUUGAUGUCAAGCCACAUGAUCAUCAUAAAAAACAACAUGCAUAAAAAUUACACAAUAUGUACACAGGGAAACGUUCACAAGACAAUGAGAAUAAUAGUUAAUAGUAAAACUAUGUUAUGAAACAUGUAAGCAAGAAAUGUAUGAUUUGUUAAAGGAAACACACAAGCUUGCGCACACUGAGACAAUCGCAUGUAAGAAAACAGACACCCAUGAUGAUGCUGUUUCAUUGUACUGUGAGUGUCGUAUACAUACCAAACUGAAUGUGA